GUUGAAACCGUUUGUAAGACUGCCAUUGAAGUCUCGCUUCUGCUGUUCUCUGUGUCUCCGAGUGUAUUCUUUGGGUUUGGAUGGGCGGUCCUCAGGAAGAUGAACAGUGGUGAUUUAAUUAUCUUUUAAGCUGCUCUGGACUGUCAUUACAUGCAUCCUGAUUUCUAGAGUGAGGAGUUGGUGGCUGUGGUGGACCCCAGGAUGCCCAGGUCCUUUAGGCUGGGACGGUUCAGCACAGGAGUCUCCUCCUCCCAACCAGAAUCUGCAGCUGCUUCCUGACAACCUUUGCUGACGACCAGAUCUCACUUUGCCUGCACCACAGUGGACCAGAGUGCAUCAGAACAAAUGCCGCCAAGUCCUUCCCCAUCAAUAACCUUAACCAACAAAAGCCAGGAAUGGGUGAACCAAGAUCCAAGAACCUUUGCCCCUAGGUGGGACACCUCCAAGGCACUUGUUCUACACUGGUUUCAAGGGUUCUCCAGCGGGGUUAAGGUCCGUUGAUGAUAACCAGCUUAGUAGCGGACACUCUAUAAACUUCCUUUCUCCAUCACUUCCCCACUCUUGCUAGUUGUUUCUCAAGUAAACUACACACAAAUCCUUGCCCUAGGGUCUGUUUUGCGGGGACUCUUCAGUGAUAAGUAGCACCUUUGGGUACCCUCACACCGUUUCUUUUUCUUGUAUCUAGCUCUUUCUCUCCUAUUUUAAAUCAUAACAGUCACCUUAUGGGCACUGAUGCAUUCCUUGUAUUUCAGUUUAUUACAGUCAUUUUGAAGAUACUCAAAUUGUCACACUUUUGGUCAUUGGCAGCCUUUGUCAUGUUGUCUCUUUAAUUCUUCCCUCACACAUUUUUUUAAGAAGAUUUUGUUUUUUUAGAGCAAUUUUAGGUUCACAGCAAAAAUGAGUGGAAGGUACAGAAUUCCUAUAUGCCCUCUGCACCCACACAUGCACGACCUCUCCCACUAUCACAUCCCCCCGCGGAGUGGUGCACUGGUUAUCACUGAUGAACCUACACUGACACUUCAUCAUCCAGAGUCCAGAGCGUACAUGACGGUUCACUCUUGGAUUUGCGUAUUCAACAGAUGUUGACAAAUUCGAAACGGCGUGGAUCCAUCAUGAUGGUAUUACACAGAGUACUUUCACUGCUUUCACUGUCCGAAAAUUUCUCUUGCUCUAUGUCCUCAUCCCUCCCACCUCACCCCUAACCCUUGGCAACUGCUGAAUUUUUUUUACUGUCUCUAUAUUUUUGCAUUUUCUGGAAUGUCAAAUAGUUGGAAUUAUACAGUAUGUAGUUUCUUUGGCUGGCCUUUUCUCAUAGCAAUUUGCAUUUAAUGUUCUCUCAUGUAUUUUCAUGCCUUGUUACCUCAUCUCUUUUUAGGGUUGAAUAAUAUUCUAUUGUCUAGAUGUACCAUAGUUUAUUAAUCCAUUUACCUACCAAAGUACAUCUUGGUUGCUUCCAAGUUUUGACAAUUAUACAUAAAGCUUAUAUUAACAUUCUUUUCAGGUCUUUGUGUGGACAGAUAUUUUCAACUCACUUGAACAAAAACCAAAGAGCACAAUUGCUAGAUUGUGUGGUAAGAGUAUGUUCAGUUUUGUAAGAAACCGGACGACUGUGUUCCAAAGUGGCUAGACCACUUUGCAUUCUCACUAGCAGUGAAUUCACAUUCUUGUUGUUCCACGUCCUGGUCAGCAUGUGGGGCUGUCAGUGUUUUGGAUUCUGGCCAUUAUAACAGGUAUGGAGUGGUAACUCAUUGCUGUUUUAAUUUGCAAUUCCCUAAUGGCAUAUGAUAUUGAAUAUCUUUUCAUAUGCUUAUU